GACGUAGGGCGCGAGCGUUGUCCGGAUUUAUUGGGCGUAAAGAGCUCGUAGGCGGCUCGUUGCGUCGGCUGUGAAAACCCGCAGCUCAACUGUGGGCUUGCAGCUGAUACGGGCGGGCUGGGAUUCGGUAGGGGAGACUGGAAUUCCUGGUGUAGCGGUGGAAUGCGCAGAUAUCAGGAGGAACACCGAUGGCGAAGGCAGGUCUCUGGGCCACUACUGACGCUGAGAAGCGAAAGCAUGGGGAGCGAACAGG
rnacentral:rRNA from 1 species